rnacentral:rRNA from 1 species
AUUGAACGCUGGCGGCGUGCUUAACACAUGCAAGUCGAUCGGUAACAGGUGUAGCAAUACAUGCUGACGAGAGGCGGACGGGUGAGGAAUGUUUGGGAAUCUGCCCAUCAGCGGGGGACA